GUGGGGAAUAUUGGACAAUGGGGGGAACCCUGAUCCAGCCAUGCCGCGUGUGUGAAGAAGGCCUUUUGGUUGUAAAGCACUUUAAGCGAGGAGGAGGCUACCGAGAUUAAUACUCUUGGAUAGUGGACGUUACUCGCAGAAUAAGCACCGGCUAACUCUGUGCCAGCAGCCGCGGUAAUACAGAGGGUGCAAGCGUUAAUCGGAUUUACUGGGCGUAAAGCGCGCGUAGGUGGCCAAUUAAGUCAAAUGUGAAAUCCCCGAGCUUAACGUGGGAAUUGCAUUCGAUACUGGUUGGCUAGAGUAUGGGAGAGGAUGGUAGGAUUCCAGGUGUAGCGGUGAAAUGCGUAGAGAUCUGGAGGAAUACCGAUGGCGAAGGCAGCCAUCUGGCCUAAUACUGACACUGAGGUGCGAAAGCAUGGGGAGCAAACAGGAUUAGAAACCCGAGUAGUCC
rnacentral:rRNA from 1 species